CAGCCGCCACGGUAAUACGAAGGGGGCUAGCGUUGUUCGGAUUUACUGGGCGUAAAGGGUGCGUAGGCGGAUUGUUAAGUCAGGGGUGAAAUCCCGAGGCUCAACCUCGGAACUGCCUUUGAUACUGGCGAUCUUGAGUCCGGGAGAGGUGAGUGGAACUGCGAGUGUAGAGGUGAAAUUCGUAGAUAUUCGCAAGAACACCGGUGGCGAAGGCGGCUCACUGGCCCGGUACUGACGCUGAGGCACGAAAGCGUGGGGAGCAAACAGGAUUAGAUACCCGAGUAGUCCCUGUCUCUUAUAC
rnacentral:rRNA from 1 species